rnacentral:rRNA from 2 species
AGCAGCCGCGGUAAUUCCAGCUCCAAUAGCGUAUAUUAAAGUUGUUGCAGUUAAAAAGCUCGUAGUUGAAUUUCGGGGUUAGUAAGUUGGUCAUGCCUCUGGUAUGCACUGGCUUUACUGAUUCCUCCUUCUUGAUGAACUGUAAUGUCAUUAAUUUGGUGUUGCAGGGAAUCAGGACUGUUACUUUGAAAAAAUUAGAGUGUUUAAAGCAGGCAUACGCUUGAAUACAUUAGCAUGGAAUAAUGAAAUAGGACGUUUGAUCCUAUUUUGUUGGUUUCUAGGAUUGACGUAAUGAUUAAUAGGGAUAGUUGGGGGCAUUAGUAUUCAAUUGUCAGAGGUGAAAUUCUUGGAUUUAUUGAAGACUAACUACUGCGAAAGCAUUUGCCAAGGAUGUUUUCAUUAAUCAAGAACGAAAGUUAGGGGAUCGAAGACGAUCAGAUACCGUCGUAGUCUUAACCAUAAACUAUGCCGACUAGGGAUCGGAUGAUGUUAAUUUUUUAAUGACUCA